CCGCCUCUGAUCGCAGCGGGCAAACGGCACCGGAGCCGAGCGCCGUGGGGCCGGGCAGCGCUAAGCCGGAGGGCAGGGCAGGGAGGCCGCCGCCCCGCAGGCCCUGCCGUUGCCAUGGCUACCCGCGGGCGGCCGAGCGGCCCAACGGUUGCCUGGGGUCAGCGGGCAGGGCGACGGGAGGAGGCGGGGCCGGCAGGGCGGAGGGGCGGUGGCUCGUUGAUAUGCGCGGCGCCUCACCGCGGCGCCGGGAUGGACAAAGGCGGGUUUCAUCCGGCGGCGGGGCCGCGCACACAAGUCGGCCUUGUGCUGGGCUGCAGAUGUGCGGCGGGGGCGGGCAGUUUUUCGCUUCCCCGCCCUCCCGCUGUGGGGAGAGGCCGUGGGUGAGUCCGGCUCGGCGGCGGGGCCCGGCUGGGAAGGCGGCCCGGGGGAAUGAGGCGCAGCCCGGCCGGCAGGUGUCCCCGGUGGCUGGGACGUGUGCUGUGGGGCGAUUUAACAAACAAAAAUGAAUUUGGCUUGCUCUUCUGUAUGGAGACACAGAGCUUUGAGGUAAGCUAUCAGAUGCAGACCCAGCCUUCAUGAUUUUUGGAGGGAGAUACUACGGUUAACUGCUUCGGAGCUGUCCCGGACCGGACAGAAGCGUGGGCGUUGCCUGCACAACGGUUCUGCAUUCACGCCCCCUUGCCUCGAAAAAGCUUCAGAGGCGGAGAGGAGGAGUCGGUGUGUAUGAGUCACGCGGGCCGUUCAAACGCGGAGAAACGGUAAGCCACCCAUUCACGGGACUACACAGCGAGGAGGGUUGUUAUCGCUGUGAAGAGAGAGGUAAGUGCGGGGGCGCCUGUUAACGGGCUGGUAACGAGGUGAGGAUGGUGCAGGCACUAUCGGCAGCAGGGCAGGGCUGAUCAGUCACACUCCAUUAAGGCUACCUGAAUAGUGCUGGUGAGUCUGCUGGUUUGCCAUGGCUGCGCCCCGCGGGAAGGCUGCUGCCAGGAAAAAUGUGGAGACCCAGAUAGAGGUCCCAUGCUCAUGUAAAAGGAAGGCUGCUGCUAAGGAAAAUGUGGAGACCCCGACUGAGACACUGAAACAAGAUGCUAGCAUGCAGGUCUCUGGCUGUAGUGAGUGCCAGAGCCUGGCCUUUGCAGUGCUAGGUGAGGGAGACACUUGUGACCAGCUCAGUGACUUGUUCAGCCACGUGGUUGACCGGAGGGCGGAGGUGGAGAGGCUGAGGAGCAUAAGGGAAUGUGAGAGGGAGAUUGGUGGUGCCAAACCCUAUGGGCCCUGAGAUCUUGGCAGCCAGCUGAGGCUCCACAUGGAGCACAUCACCCCCUGCUGCCUUGCAAACAGGUGACAGAGGGGAACCAGCAGGCAGGCAGUGUUCCUGCUGCAGUGAGCCCCCUGUCCUCUCCUCCCCCUAGCAACAACAGUGAAGAAUCGGGGGGUGUGGGGCAGUGGCAAAAGCUCUGUAACUCUCUUCCAGAAGGGCACCAGGGUGAUAUUCACCAGACAGUGGUGAAUAUCCUACCCUGCUGUUGCCAAGCAGACUGAGGCAAUCUGAGAGAGGAGGAGUAGAAAUGGAUACCAACUUGAUGAAGUGGGCAUCCCCUAUUCUGACCAUCCUCAGUUCCCCAGGUGUGCCUCUGCAAAAUAGGCGUGAGGCCCUGGAACUUGAGGGAGAAGUGAGUGAGGGUGUGGAGGGAGGUUCACCUGUGAGGGUGCCUCGGGGGAAGCGGACACACCCGCGCCUCAAAACUUCUUCCACACGGAAGGAUAGAAGGGUAGUCGUCAUAGGUGACUCCCUUCUGCGAGGAAUGGAUGAGCGUGCAUGCCAGCCUGACCCUAUCCAUAGGGAGGUGUGCUGCCUCCCUGGGGCACGGGUCAGGGACAUUUCUAGGAAACUUCCUGGACUGAUUUGCCCUUCUGAUUAUUACCCCUUAUGUAUAAUUCAGGCUGGCAGCGAUUAAGUCACUGAUAAAAGCCUGUGGACUAUCAAGAAAGACUUAAGGGACUGGGUCAGGUAGUUGAUGGAACAGGCUUGCAGGUGCUUUUUUUCUUCUAUACUUUCAGUGGCAGUGAAGGAUACUGGGAGGAUCCAAAAAAAAAGCACCUAAUGAAUAAAUGGCUUAGAGGUUGAUGCAAACACAAGAGUUUUGGUCUUUUUGACCAUGGGACUAUUUACUCAGCACCUGGCAUGAUGGCUGCAGAUGGAAGUAACCUCUCUCCAAGGGGACUGUAAAGGACAGAGACCUGUUGGAUGCAGUUUGGAUGAGAGGACUUCUGAAGAUGACUUCCAGCCUACCUGGUUCUGCAGCUUCAUGAUUCUGUGCUUCCUGAGCUAAUUCUCCCAAUGAGAAAUGCAUAAUGUGAGGAAAAGUUUCAAAAACUGGAUUUCAAAAUUUUCUAAGAUGGAUGAAGAUAUAUCUACAACAGCAACAUCAAAUGACUUCUAGAGGUCACCAUAGAAGUCAUUAAAGGGUCACAAACUAUAGAACUCUAAAAACACACUGUUCUGGUAGAGGGAGUGUCCACAGUGUCUUGUAGAUGUAACAUCCUGCAAUGUUUAGUAUUGAGUCUAUUGCUGUAAUUGUUCCAGCAAACACCUGUAAUAAAUUAAAGAUCCUAUUUUUGUCUGGGUAGCUAGAGGUCAGAAUCCAGCUUCAGCCUCUGAACAUGAUUGAUAUUGAGCCAAAGAGCAAAGAUUGCCAACCCGUGUAUGGCAAAUAUGCUUAUUAAUAAUAAACAUAAAACUGCACUAAAAUAAUAUCCAUAUCACUAAGCCUGGUCAGUCAAGAAACACUGUUGCUUUUGUUUUUGUUUUGUUUUGUUCUUUUUUGUGCCAUCAGCAAUGUUUUAGCCAAAGUAUGUAAGACCAAAACAAAAAAGUGAAACAUGUCACAAAAUUGGGAUAUUCCUCACAUGAGUAAUAACCCCUCAGGAAAGAAAUAUCAAAAAAGGCUCAAAACUUAUAACUGUACACAGUGUAGAUGAUGAGUAUUAAUUGCAUCCUCUGUGAACUAGCAUUCUAGCAAGGCUGCUCCAAAAUAUUAUUAAGGGCACUGCAGCAUAUUGCAGAAUAUGUUGGCAAUGCCAGAAACAGAGGGAAAACAGUAACACGGCAAAAACAUAAGACAGCUGCCAAAGACUGAGAUUUUCUUUAAAGGUGGGAUAUGAAGAUACUGGGGCUUUUUGAGAGUGAGGAAAAAAUAUUGAGGUUUUUUUACAUGUCUAGGGAGGAUAAACAUAGUGGUUGAAAUGAGUUUAAUGUAUGCACAUUCUGUGCAUAAUUGUACAAGGGGGAACAUAUUUGACAAGAAACCAAUAGUAAUAUAUCAGUGUCAGUCUAGGAGCAUCUCAGUUGUUACCACGCAGCAACUCAUGAGCUGUUGGCUCUUUACAGUCACUGUCAACCAAGAUUUUAUUUCUGUCCUCCAAAAGCACAAGUCUCCGCCACUGGAAAUUUGAAGAAAACGAAAAGAAAAAACCAAAAAAGCAUGAGCUGCAGCACAUCAUACGUAGCUCAGAAAAGAGGACUUAACGCUCUUACAGACACUACCUUGGAAAGAAGAAGAGCACUGGAGUAUGUCAUCCAAGGACUUUGGAAGAUCUCAGAUGCUGAGAAUUACUAAACCUGAUGUCUGCUGUAUAAAGAAUGAAAUAGAGCAGGAUAAUAAGCCUGACAUGAUCUCAUGACCCAAGAACUGCCAUCACUUCAUAAAGUGAUGCUAUACAUCAAAGGAUAAUGGUCUCAGAAGACAAUGUCAUGCUUGCAUGAGAAUAUCACUCUUUAUAUAUACUGUGAAAGGAUGCACCCAUCCUUUUCCUUUUCACAAACAGUAGUAAGAGAUCUUGCCAGAAAAUGCUGAGGCCACCUUUUCUGAGAAGGCAUCUGACACAAACCAAAACAAAUGUUGAUUGCUGAGCCUUAUGAAACUACUGGACAUGGUUUAGUGGGAGCUAUUGGUAAUAGGUGAAUGGUUGGACUGGAUGAUCUUUUAGGUCUUUUCCAACCUUGGUGAUUCUGUGAUUCUGUGAUACUGUCCAGGAUCAAAGGCCCUUACUAGCUUUGACUAGUCUACAUGGGGCUUUCACCUAUACCCUGCCCACAGACAACCACCUGCUCACGUAGGACUUCCAUUGGUGCUUUACACACUGAACAGCCCAAAGAUCUCUCCAUGGGAGAGAAGGGAUGCCUCUGAAGUUCACCAGCUAUCCAGGUAUCAGCAGUGAAUAGCAGAAAUCCCCCUACUAGCAGCAGCAAUUAAUCAUUUUAACUGCAAAUCAAAAAUGUAGUAGAUUGCUGAUUUUCUUUAAAGUGGAUAUGAUAUGGCUGGAUGCGCUGAUAUGGAGAGCAUCCUUUGAACUGUUCAAACUGAUGCCAGGUAGUUUUCCAAAUCAUUGUCCACAGACAGUAGAUAAAAGAGUUGAUUCUGUCAGAGAGCUAGCUUCAUUCUGCUGGGUAUACAUAAACACAUGCCGAAUGAUGUACAUAGCAAUGCUUUGUUGAAAAUAAAAUUCACAAGUAAUUCUGAGGUGAAGGAAAACAAGUUACUGGAAGUCUUUGGGAUUCUCUUUUGAAUGAAAUCCCUACCCAUAGUUCCUACCUUGCAGUUUUUGCCAGAACAACUCAGCACUGUAUGGUUAACUCAGUCCCACAACUCCUGAAAGCAUCCUUCUACUGAGUCUUUAUAACACUGUCCUAAGAAACUAUGACAGAUUUUCUGUCAAAAGAAUUAUCAUGAUCAUAAAACUGCAUAAUAUAAGCCACAAGACUGAUAAAAAUUAGUCCUAAUUUAAAUUCAAGACUUACAAUUUAACUAAAUAAUGUCUUUUUAAAAAAUCUGUUUUUGUUUAAAAUGUCCAGUAUCACAGGAUUUAUCAUCACAUAGGGUUACUUUUGUUCUAGAAAGAUGUCUUAAAAUCUUUUUUGUAUUACUGUACUGCACAAAAUCUAGAUCUUCCUUUCUCCUAAAAAUUACACUGAACCAGCAUCUUUAAUUAUGCCAUUUGUUCACAAUCCUCAUGUGUUAAAGUUUUACCUUGUUUUGGUCUGAAUGUGUUUAGUUUCAUUGUGGAACCUUCAGAACAUUCACAUGUUUCUUUGUGAGACCAGAGAACCCUCUGUUAUUGAGUUUAAUAUCAGCUACAAACACUAGCUUUUCCAGAACAACUGGUCACUGAUUCAGGAGGAAAAUCUCCAAAUCGUAGGAUGGUUGAUCUCAAUAUGAGGUGUCCCACAAGGAUAGUGUUUUGAUUCUUUGUGUCUAAUCUAACUCUUCUCUGAUCCGACUUGUGGCCAUGUCCUCAGGUCCUGUUCUUUGCUUGGGAGAAGAGACCAAACCUCUCCUCAUCACAACCUCCCU